rnacentral:rRNA from 1 species
CGCCAGAACACUACGAGCAACAGCUUAAAACUCAAAGGACUUGGCGGUGCUCUACACCCCCCUAGAGGAGCCUGUUCUAUAAUCGACAACCCCCGAUAAACCUCACCAUCUAUUGCUAGUACAGCCUAUAUACCACCGUCCAGCCCACCCUUUAAAGGAAAAAUAGUAGGCACAAUUAUAUACAUAAAAACGUCAGGUCAAGGUGUAGCAUAUGAGAUGGGAAGAAAUGGGCUACAUUUUCUAACCUAGAAAACACGGAAAAGUUUAUGAAACAAAACUAUAAAGGAGGAUUUAGUAGUAAAAAGAAAAAAGAGUGUUCUUUUUAAACCGGCAAUGGAGCGCGCACACACCGCCCGUCACCCU